UACGGAAGGUGCAAGCGUUGCUCGGAAUCACUGGGCGUAAAGGGUGCGUAGGCGGCCGUGCAAGUCUGGCGUGAAAGCCCCGGGCUCAGCCCGGGAAGUGCGCUCGAAACUGCGCGGCUCGAGUGCCGGAGGGGAGAGUGGAAUUCCUGGUGUAGCGGUGAAAUGCGUAGAUAUCAGGAGGAACACCGAUGGCGAAGGCAGGUCUCUGGGCCACUACUGACGCUGAGAAGCGAAAGCAUGGGGAGCGAACAGG
rnacentral:rRNA from 1 species